AUUUAUUUAUUUAGGCAACCUGGCCAUUCAACAUCUGCCUCUUGGAGGGCCCUGUGGAAAACUGUGUGGCCAUAAUGUGAGCCACUCCCAAGAGAAAGGUUCUUAGUCAGCAAAGGUGGUCACGCUAGUUGGAAGAGUCAAAAGGAAUUAAACUCCUGUCCCAUGAUCUUUAGAUCUAACAGAGGCACUGGUUCCCUCUUUCAAAGCUUUUUGUAGGAAGGCCUGUCAUUUGUGAGGCUCUCUGGCUUCAGGCUUCUGCCUAUCUUCUGCGAGGCACUGAAUCCCAAAAGAAGUGGAAAGUGGUUGGUCGGGGACAGUGGUGUGCUGGUAGACCCGCUCUCUGGGGGAUGGUAAAGGAAAGCCUUGGUUUCCUGCAUUUGCCCGAUAUCUGUGGUGCAAAUACUUUCCCCAUGGUGGCUUUCAAGCUACCAAGGAUUCACAACCGGCUCACAGAAUUCCUGAAAAUUUAACAAUCCACUCUCAUGCGCCUGCUGCAGCCAUUUCCAGCCCACCUCUGUAGCUCUCUAAACAGCAGGGCCUCAUGGAUGAGACUAGAGAGGGGAGAUGUAGCUGGCUCUGUUUAAUUCUGUGAGGUCAAACCACACCUGGGAGGGUGUGUCUGGUUUCAAAGCCUACAUUGUAAGAGGAACAUAGGCACACUGAAAAUUGUUUGAUUUGGGCAAGAAGCAAUUUCGUCUGAAAAGCCCACCGGGAGACCUAUUGCUGGAAUGAGAAUCCAGGGGAAGAAAAACACAGGGUAUCCUGGCCAUUGUUUCCAAAUCUCUGUGGGGCUGUAAGGGCCCUGAGUGCACCUGAGAAUGCUGAAAAGAAAAGCCAAGUUCACGGACAAAAAAAGAAUCACCCAAGCUGCUUUCACCUGCCUGCGAUUUCCCAGGAAGCCAGUUUGUCUUUAAGAAUGAACUUCUCUCAUAUUCUACAUCUUAAGACAAUGGAUAUAUUUUCUCAAACUGGUCAGACAGUUAAAGAGUCAUCUUACAGAUUAUAAAAUAUAUACAUGGCAAGAGAACCAGGACAAUGACUGACUAUGUGACUAUGACUAUGUGACUAUGACCGUAAGACACUAUGAAUGGCUCUUUCUUCCCUAAGCCUGCAUCUGGCUUCAGACCCUUCUCAGCAAGAAGCUCCAGAAAGCUACUAAUGAUUGAUCAAGAUUAAAUGCAACUUGAAAACGAUUUUCCAUCCUUGCUUUAGAUUUCAUCACCAUUUGAAGUUAGUUGUCUAAUUUCCUAAAAGUGCUUAUUCUAGUGAUUUUCCCCCUUCUGGUCAUGACAAAUGAGGCUCUUUGUGAGCUGGUAUCCAAGGGUUUUAUUUGUUUGUUUUCCUCUGUUUUUGCUCACACUUCUCAGUUUGAAGUUUUCCUUACAAGACUUUUAGAAUUGUUUAAAUGACACCAGAUUUGGUAAUACUUACAGAAAAACCAGUAUAGAUGGGUUUAAACUCCAUAGUGCUAAAUUUUGCUAAUUUAACAAACGAUUAUUGAGCGUGUAUUACAUGGCAACUUAUUCUGUAUAUAGAAAGGAAAAGAGAG
rnacentral:lncRNA from 1 species